CCUACGGGAGGCUGCAGUGGGGAAUAUUGCACAAUGGGGGAAACCCUGAUGCAGCGACGCCGCGUGAGUGAAGAAGUAUUUCGGUAUGUAAAGCUCUAUCAGCAGGGAAGAAAAUGACGGUACCUGACGAAGAAGCCCCGGCUAACUACGUGCCAGCAGCCGCGGUAAUACGUAGGGGGCAAGCGUUAUCCGGAUUUACUGGGUGUAAAGGGAGCGUAGGUGGCAUGGUAAGCCAGAAGUGAAAACCCAGGGCGCAACGCGGUGGAUUGCUGUUGGAACUAGCAAGCUAGAGUGCUGGAGGGGUAAGCGGAAUUCGUGGUGUAGCGGUGAAAUGCGUAGAUAUUAGGAAGAACACCGGUGGCGAAGGCGGCUUACUGGACAGAAACUGACACUGAGGCUCGAAAGCGUGGGGAGCAAACAGGAUUAGAUACCCCUGUAGUC
rnacentral:rRNA from 1 species